rnacentral:lncRNA from 1 species
UUUCUUCUCCUUUUUCAUAUUUAGACAUAGAUAAUAGUAACCAAACACCCUUAUGUGGGAGCUUACAUCAGUUAUAGACCAUUAGAUCUUGAAUUAUGAUUUGAUGUAUAAUCAAAACACAAAAAUAAUUGUUUGCCAAACAUUUAUUAUUUUUUACACAGUCCAAUCAUUUCAAGAGGAAAGUCUCCAAGGUAGUAUCAAUAGGCCUCAAAGGAUUGUGGGCUGAUGGGUCUCAUCUAAGAGCCUCUAGGAACUUUCCCUUCUGUUCACAAAUUUUCCCUUCCCCUCCCCGAAAAUGCUGUGAUCUCUUAUUGGCUCUAGUACUAAACAGAUGUUUACAGGAUCCUGAGCAGGUUCCUUCUCAGUUAAAAUGAACAAAGGUAGUAAAAUUCUCAAACUCAUCAAAGACUGGGGGAAAAGAACUGAGCACCACAGACUACAGUAGACAGAUUUAAAAUUUGAACUCUGGAGUUGUUUGAGAAACACCUUGCUUUUGCUUUAUGAGAUUUUAAGUGCUUAUGGAGUGUGAAAAAAAUCUAAUUCAAAGUCUAAGUCUUGAAGCUAAACCUUCUUCAUAACAGAUAUUUCUUCCAGUUAGGGGCUGAUUUCAGAGGGAGUUUUUCUGUAGAAGUCUCUCCCCCUGUGCUAGUCAAGGGUUGUAAAAAUUUAGUGACCUUGUACAAUCUGUGCUAAUUAUGCCACAAAAGCCAGUCUAUUUGGAGGCAAAUAUUAAUGCAGUUUAUGCUCAAGAAGAAAUGCCAACUGGAACACUAAAAAUAUCUAAAUUUUCCAAAAGAUGGAUCAACCAUUAAAAAAACAGACCCAGUUCUAUUGAAUCUUAAAUCAUAUUUUUUUACUUUUGAAAGCAAUAAAUUAACGUUCCCGAAACAAAACUCCUUAAACAAAUUAAAUGAUUUAUAUUUUUAAAAAAUGCACACCACAUCUGCACCAAAGAGCAAAGACACCCUGCAGUAAAGAAUAAUUUCAGGAAGAAUGAAAAGCAAGAGUAAAAGGUACAUGAAAUGAGUGUAGUUUUGGAAAAAAAGAUUUUGGAACAUCAGAGCGUUCUCCCACAACCAGAAACAUUUGAGUCAUUUGGUAUCCAGUGUUUCUCAUUUUCCUUUGCUGGAAGCUUUGGUAGGUGUCCGGAUAUUGGCAGCAUCUCUUACGGGCGGUACUGAGAUCUCUGCUCUUGGAUGUACUCAUAGAGAGGGCUGGAGCGCACCGGGACACUGGCAAACUGACGCUUACCGGGCUCCAGAGCCUGCUGACUGCCCUUGUCUCCUUCCUCCCAGACUUGGCGACCUCGCCUCUGCUCCUCCUCCUGCUGGCGGCGCAGCUGUUCUUCCCUUUCCUGCAGGAGUUGCUCCUCCUCGCGGAAUUUCCUGUCGCGCUCCUGGCGAAGCUGUUGCUCACGUUCCCUGCGGCGCAGCUGCUGUUCUUCCCUUUCCUGCAGGAGUUGCUCCUCCUCGCGGAAUUUCCUGUCGCGCUCCUGGCGGCGCAGCUGUUCUUCCCUUUCCUGCAGGAGCUGCUCCUCCUCGCGGAACUUCCUGUCGCGCUCCUGGCGGCGCGGCUGUUCUUCCCUCUCCUGCAGCAGCUGCUCCUCCUCGCGGAACUUCCUGUCGCGCUCCUGGCGGCGCGGCUGUUCUUCCCUCUCCUGCAGCAGCUGCUCCUCCUCGCGGAACUUCCUGUCGCGCUCCUGGCGGCGCGGCUGUUCUUCCCUCUCCUGCAGCAGCUGCUCCUCCUCGCGGAACUUCCUGUCGCGCUCCUGGCGGCGCGGCUGUUCUUCCCUCUCCUGCAGCAGCUGCUCCUCCUCGCGGAACUUCCUGUCGCGCUCCUGGCGGCGCGGCUGUUCUUCCCUCUCCUGCAGCAGCUGCUCCUCCUCGCGGAACUUCCUGUCGCGCUCCUGGCGGCGCGGCUGUUCUUCCCUCUCCUGCAGCAGCUGCUCCUCCUCGCGGAACUUCCUGUCGCGCUCCUGGCGGCGCGGCUGUUCUUCCCUCUCCUGCAGCAGCUGCUCCUCCUCGCGGAACUUCCUGUCGCGCUCCUGGCGGCGCGGCUGUUCUUCCCUCUCCUGCAGCAGCUGCUCCUCCUCGCGGAACUUCCUGUCGCGCUCCUGGCGGCGCGGCUGUUCUUCCCUCUCCUGCAGCAGCUGCUCCUCCUCGCGGAACUUCCUGUCGCGCUCCUGGCGGCGCGGCUGUUCUUCCCUCUCCUGCAGCAGCUGCUCCUCCUCGCGGAACUUCCUGUCGCGCUCCUGGCGGCGCGGCUGUUCUUCCCUCUCCUGCAGCAGCUGCUCCUCCUCGCGGAACUUCCUGUCGCGCUCCUGGCGGCGCGGCUGUUCUUCCCUCUCCUGCAGCAGCUGCUCCUCCUCGCGGAACUUCCUGUCGCGCUCCUGGCGGCGCGGCUGUUCUUCCCUCUCCUGCAGCAGCUGCUCCUCCUCGCGGAACUUCCUGUCGCGCUCCUGGCGGCGCGGCUGUUCUUCCCUCUCCUGCAGCAGCUGCUCCUCCUCGCGGAACUUCCUGUCGCGCUCCUGGCGGCGCGGCUGUUCUUCCCUCUCCUGCAGCAGCUGCUCCUCCUCGCGGAACUUCCUGUCGCGCUCCUGGCGGCGCGGCUGUUCUUCCCUCUCCUGCAGCAGCUGCUCCUCCUCGCGGAACUUCCUGUCGCGCUCCUGGCGGCGCGGCUGUUCUUCCCUCUCCUGCAGCAGCUGCUCCUCCUCGCGGAACUUCCUGUCGCGCUCCUGGCGGCGCGGCUGUUCUUCCCUCUCCUGCAGCAGCUGCUCCUCCUCGCGGAACUUCCUGUCGCGCUCCUGGCGCCUCCUCUUCUCGCGUUCCUCUCUCUGCAGCUGCUCUUCUUCCCUCAGCUGCUCUCGUUCAGCUGGCUUGGCGUACACUAUGUGGCGGCGUCUCUGGCUUUCCUCAUCUGGUUGCCACCUCCAUUUUUGAUCGCGGCGCUGCUCUUCCUGGCGUAGCUUCCUCUCCCGAUCCUCUUGGAAGCUCUCCUCCAACUGCUUCUCUUCACGGACCCGCUGCUCCUGCUCCCUCUCGAGUCGCUGGCGGCGCUGCUGCUCCUCCUCACGUAACGGUUCCAGCUCCUGCAGCUCCUCUGCUCUUAGCUGCCUCUCCG